AUACGGAGGAUGCAAGCGUUAUCCGGAUUUAUUGGGUUUAAAGGGUGCGUAGGCGGUUUGCUAAGCGGGAGGUGAAAUGCCGGCGCUCAACGUCGGAAGUGCCCCCCGAACUGGUGGACUGGAAUGACUCUGCCGUGGGAGGAAUGUGUAGUGUAGCGGUGAAAUGCUUAGAGAUUACACAGAACACCGAUUGCGAAGGCAUCUCACGAAGGGUUGAUUGACGCUGAGGCACGAAAGCGUGGGGAUCAAACAGGAUUAGAUACCCUGGUAGUCCACGCAGUAAACGAUGAUGGCUAACCGCUGGUUUAUUCGGAUCAGUGGCCAAGCGAAAGCGAUAAGCCAUCCACCUGGGGAGUACGACCGCAAGGUUGAAACUCAAAGGAAUUGACGGGG
rnacentral:rRNA from 1 species